rnacentral:rRNA from 1 species
GACGUAGGGCGCGAGCGUUGUCCGGAUUUAUUGGGCGUAAAGAGCUCGUAGGCGGCUCGUUGCGUCGGCUGUGAAAACCCGCAGCUCAACUGUGGGCUUGCAGCUGAUACGGGCGGGCUGGGAUUCGGUAGGGGAGACUGGAAUUCCUGGUGUAGCGGUGAAAUGCGCAGAUAUCAGGAGGAACACCGGUGGCGAAGGCGGGUCUCUGGGCCGUAACUGACGCUGAUGCGCGAAAGCGUGGGGAGCGAUCCGG